rnacentral:rRNA from 1 species
AGUCACAAGCAUUAUCCGGUGUUACUGGGCGUAAAGUGUGUGUAGGUGUCCUGUUAAGUUUUUGUUCAAAGACCUUGGCUUACCCAAGGACAGGGCGAAAAAACUGGCAGGAUUGAGUUUUCUUUAGGGGAACCGGAAUUUAUGGAGUAGCAGUGAAAUGCGUUGAUACCAUAAAGAACACCAGUGGCGAAGGCGGGUUCCUGAAAGUUAACUGACACUGAGACACGAAAGCUAGGGGAGCGAACCGGAUUAGAGACCCGGGUAGUCCUAGCUGUAAACGAUGCUCGCUAGCUGCAUUUCUUGCUUUAUUGCAUGAGGUGUGGCGAAGUCAACACAUUAAGCGAGCCGCCUGGGAAGUACGGUCGCAAGACUGAAACUCAAAGGAAUUGGCGGGGAGACACCCAACUAGUGGAUCAUGUGGUUUAAUUCGAUACGAACCGAAGAACCUCACCAGGGUUCGACAUGUAAUGGACAGCCUGAUGAAAGUCAGGCCUUUCCGCAAGGAACUGUUACAAAGCUGUUGCAUGGCUGUCGUCAGUUCGUUCCGUGAGGAGUGCCCUUAAGUGGGACAACGAACGCAACCUUUGUCCUGAGUUAUAUAUGUCUCAGGAGACUGGUCCGAUAUAUAUCGGACAGGAAGGAGAAGCAGACGUCAAGUCAGCAUGACGCCUAUGCCCUGGGCUACACACAUGAUACAAUGAGUCGUAACAAUGGGCUGCCAAUCGGUAACGAGGAGCAAAUCCCAUCAAACCGGCUCUCAGUGGGGAUUGAGGUCUGCAACCCGACCUCAUGAACACGGAAUUAGUAGUAAUCGCGGAUCAGCUAUGCCGCGGUGAAUACGUUCUUGUCUCUUGCACACACUGCCCGUCAAGCCAACAAAGUCGGAGGUACCCGAAUUCUAAUGAACUUUGGAAGAGGGUAAAAUCGGCGAUGGGGGCUAAGUCGUAACAAGGUACCCGUUCUGGAAGGAGUGGGUG